rnacentral:rRNA from 1 species
UACGUAGGGGGCUAGCGUUGUCCGGAUUUAUUGGGCGUAAAGAGCGUGUAGGCGGCCAGGUAGGUCUGCUGUGAAAACUCGAGGCUCAACCUCGAGACGUCGGCGGAAACCAUCUGGCUAGAGUCCGGAAGAGGAGAGUGGAAUUCCUGGUGUAGCGGUGAAAUGCGCAGAUAUCAGGAAGAACACCGGUGGCGAAGGCGGAUCUCUGGGCCUUACCUGACGCUGAGGCGCGAAAGCUAGGGGAGCGAACAGG